ensembl:lncRNA
CUCUCCUCUUCCUGCAACCUCUUCUCCUCUUUCCUUCCUCCUCUCUUUGGAAUUAAGUGUGCAAAAGGUGUAUUGGUGUCUAAUAUUGUGAACGGAAAAGAAAGGGAAGGAUGGAGGGGGGAUCCUUGAGACUCAAGCAGAGCUGAUUGUCUCCUCUGCAUCUUCUCAGGAGCUCACAGGCUUCCUGCUCAUUGUACUCAAGGGAGAGCAGGAAAGAGCAGGGUGCUGUCUGUCUGUCUGUGGUUGAUCUGAGGGUCUAGUGCUGAGGGAGAGAAACUUGUCACAGAGCCUGGCACUUUCCAGAAGAAUUCCCUUAAAUCCCUGCCCCCAACUCCAACUCUAACUUCAGCCAGAGAGAGAGGAGAGAGAGAGAGGACAGAGAGAGGAGAGAGAGAGAGCCUGUUCUGGAGUCGCAUUUCCAGACUGACCUCUGCCUUUUCCACACACAUUCUGGCACUCACCUGCGGCAGUCAGGCUUUGAGCCAGGCUCGGGAGACUCCACUUCGUAGCCUCACAUUCAGCCCUACACCCCGUGGGCCUUGGGCCAGGCAACCAGAGUCACUUUCCAGGCACUGGGGGAGGCUGCACAAUAAGGAAGAGCUAAACAGGCUGAGGAGUGCUGGUGUUGAGGAGCCACAUCUGAACUCCACAGGGAAGCCUGAGACGACCUGACUUUGGCGUUUCUCUUCUGGCUCCUGAGGGGCUGGUGGCCGGAAGCUGAGACAUAGAGAAGACAACAAAUUUUCUGGAGUUCUCACAGUUGGGCUAUGGAAGAAGAAAGAAUUCAAAACCAGAUUGGGUGGCUCCAGAGUUCUGAAUUGAUCUCCCUAGGAGAAUUUUAUCCCUCUUCAUCCUUCUUGGACACUACAGUCAAGAAGGACUGACCACCCUGCUACAAUAGAUUGGAGAAUCCCUCAGAUCAGCAGGCCUGAGUAAAACCUCACUGCCAUCAAAGCACCAAAAAUGUGGGCAAAGAUAGCUUGGACUCUACCAGACCAUCUGCCAGCUGACACCAUUGAGUAACAUCCAUUGAUAUUGUGAGGAAGAAAUAAAUCAUCCAGCAGAUCUUGCCCCAAGUGCCCAACCCACAAAAUUGGGCAGGGG